rfam:Parastrongyloides trichosuri strain KNP genome assembly, scaffold: PTRK_contig0000783
UCUCUGGUAGUAUAGUGGUGAGUAUCCGCGCCUGUCACGUGCGAGACCGGGGUUCGAUUCCCCGCCAGAGAG